GACGAACGCUGGCGGCGUGCUUAACACAUGCAAGUCGAGCGGUAAGGCACCUUCGGGUGUACACGAGCGGCGAACGGGUGAGUAACACGUGAGUAACCUGCCCUUCUCAUCGGAAUAAGCGUUGGAAACGACGUCUAAUGCCGAAUAUGACUUCGGACCGCAUGGUCUGAAGUGGAAAGCUCCGGCGGAGAAGGAUGGACUCGCGGCCUAUCAGCUUGUUGGUGAGGUAACGGCUCGCCAAGGCGACGACGGGUAGCCGGCCUGAGAGGGUGACCGGCCACACUGGGGACUGAGACACGGCCCAGACUCCUACGGGAGGCAGCAGUGGGGAAUAUUGGACAAUGGGCGCAAGCCUGAUCCAGCAACGCCGCGUGAGGGAUGACGGCCUUCGGGUUGUAAACCUCUUUCAGCAGGGACGAAGCGCAAGUGACGGUACCUGCAGAAGAAGGACCGGCCAACUACGUGCCAGCAGCCGCGGUAAUACGUAGGGUCCGAGCGUUGUCCGGAAUUAUUGGGCGUAAAGGGCUCGUAGGCGGUUGGUCACGUCGGGAGUGAAAACUCAGGGCUCAACCUGAGCGUGCUUCCGAUACGGGCCGACUAGAGGUAUGCAGGGGAGAACGGAAUUCCUGGUGUAGCGGUGGAAUGCGCAGAUAUCAGGAGGAACACCGGUGGCGAAGGCGGUUCUCUGGGCCAUUACCUGACGCUGAGGAGCGAAAAGGCAUGGGGAGCGAACAGGAUUAGAUACCCUGGUAGU
rnacentral:rRNA from 1 species